UCCUACGGGAGGCAGCAGUGAGGAAUAUUGGUCAAUGGACGGAAGUCUGAACCAGCCAUGCCGCGUGCAGGAUGACUGCCCUAUGGGUUGUAAACUGCUUUUCUGAAGGAAGAAAGGUACCUACGUGUAGGUAUUUGCCGGUACUCCAGGAAUAAGGAUCGGCUAACUCCGUGCCAGCAGCCGCGGUAAUACGGAGGAUCCGAGCGUUAUCCGGAUUUAUUGGGUUUAAAGGGUGCGUAGGCGGUAUAAUAAGUCAGUGGUGAAAGUCUGUGACUCAACCAUAGAAGUGCCAUUGAAACUGUUAUACUUGAGUAUAGAUGAGGUAUGCGGAAUGUGUAAUGUAGCGGUGAAAUGCUUAGAUAUUACACAGAACACCGGUUGCGAAGGCAGCAUACUAAGCUAUAACUGACGCUGAUGCACGAAAGCGUGGGUAGCGAACAGGAUUAGAUACCCUGGUAGUCCACGCCGUAAACGAUGAUCACUCGUUGUUGGCGACAUAAAGUCAGUGACUGAGCGAAAGCAUUAAGUGAUCCACCUGGGGAGUACGUUGGCAACGAUGAAACUCAAAUGAAUUGACGG
rnacentral:rRNA from 1 species